rnacentral:tRNA from 1 species
GUCUUCGUGGUAUACUUGGAAGCACGCCUGACUAGCAAUCAAGAUGUUCCGAGUUCGAUUCUUGGCUAAGAUA